UAGGGAAUCUUCGGCAAUGGACGAAAGUCUGACCGAGCAACGCCGCGAGAGUGAAGAAGGUUUUCGGAUCGUAAAACUCUGUUGUUAGAGAAGAACAAGGACGUUAGUAACUGAACGUCCCCUGACGGUAUCUAACCAGAAAGCCACGGCUAACUACGUGCCAGCAGCCGCGGUAAUACGUAGGUGGCAAGCGUUGUCCGGAUUUAUUGGGCGUAAAGCGAGCGCAGGCGGUUUCUUAAGUCUGAUGUGAAAGCCCCCGGCUCAACCGGGGAGGGUCAUUGGAAACUGGGAGACUUGAGUGCAGAAGAGGAGAGUGGAAUUCCAUGUGUAGCGGUGAAAUGCGUAGAUAUAUGGAGGAACACCAGUGGCGAAUGCGGCUCUCUGGUCUGUAACUGACGCUGAGGCUCGAAAGCGUGGGGAGCAAACAGG
rnacentral:rRNA from 1 species